AGUGAACGCUGGCGGUAGGCCUAACACAUGCAAGUCGAACGGCAGCACAGUAAGAGCUUGCUCUUACGGGUGGCGAGUGGCGGACGGGUGAGAAAUACAUCGGAAUCUACUUUUUCGUGGGGGAUAACGUAGGGAAACUUACGCUAAUACCGCAUACGACCUACGGGUGAAAGCAGGGGAUCUUCGGACCUUGCGCGAUUGAAUGAGCCGAUGUCGGAUUAGCUAGUUGGCGGGGUAAAGGCCCACCAAGGCGACGAUCCGUAGCUGGUCUGAGAGGAUGAUCAGCCACACUGGAACUGAGACACGGUCCAGACUCCUACGGGAGGCAGCAGUAGGGAAUAUUGGACAAUGGGCGCAAGCCUGAUCCAGCCAUACCGCGUGGGUGAAGAAGGCCUUCGGGUUGUAAAGCCCUUUUGUUGGGAAAGAAAAGCAGCAGGUUAAUACCCCGCUGUUCCGACGGUACCCAAAGAAUAAGCACCGGCUAACUUCGUG
rnacentral:rRNA from 1 species